rnacentral:rRNA from 1 species
UAACGUAGGGUGCUAGCGUUGUCCGGAUUUAUUGGGCGUAAAGGGCUCGUAGGCGGCGUGUCGCGUCGGGAGUGAAACCCGCGGCUUAACCGCGGGCCUGCUUUCGAUACGGGCGGCUAGAGUUCGGCAGGGAGACUGGAAUUCCUGGUGUAGCGGUGAAAUGCGUAGAGAUUAGGAAGAACACCAGUGGCGAAGGCGACUUGACUGGACUGUAA